rnacentral:lncRNA from 1 species
GGGAACUGAGAAUGGGGGCUGAAAGACAACCGCAAGAAGGGUGGAGGGGUGAGCUCCUGGAGCCCGAGCCCGGACGCGGCUGUCACCGCUUGCUCUGAGAGAAAAGAUGGAGCAGGGAGCUGCUUACCUUAGCAGAAACUUCUCAAUGGCACACCUGUUAAAAUUGUCACUGCUGAAACGUUAAGUGAUGAAAGUUACUUCAAGGACAAAUGGCCUGCUGACUAGUGCAACAAGCUACAGGAAGAGAUUUCCAAAAUGAGGAGCUCCUGGCUGGAAGCCACAGUGGGACAGGAGACGUUGAGGCAGGCGGCAUCCUUGGUCCAGCAGGUAGCCUCCAUGCUCUAAGAAAGCACACAGAGCCGGCCUCUGACCUGGAAGGCUCUGGAAGCUCUGGCACCAGGGAACAAAAGGAAGAUCAACAGGAGGAGAAAUUAAUUGUAGCAGUACAUUUUGGAGUCAAAAGGACAACGUCCUAGGGAGCUUGGGAGUAGAGGGACUUCCUGAGCAGAAAUGGGCAGGCUUUUCACCGUGGUUUUGCAGUAUUCUAUAUAAAAUUUACUUCAUAUGUAAAUUUAGUGACUGUUAACUAAUGAUCAUUUAACGGAUGAUAAUUCUAACAGGACAGAGUUCAUGGUGUUGUCCCUAACCUGUCAUUUUUCAGUUGCAUGUGAAAGAGGACUAGGAUGAUUUAUUACUAAUCAUUAUAAAGACCUAGCACUGGUUUGUGCUGAAGGGGCCAUAGGUUUAAGGGCUGAAUCCAUCUCACACUCAAUGAGGCCACAUAGGAACUCAGAUCCUCCCUGUUGGCCCAGAGUACAGUUACAAGGAACGAUCUUGUGUGUACAUGGGGUCCUUCAGUGGAGGACUGGCAGACAAGCCAGAUAGCUGUGCCAUGUUCAUGGGGCAGAGGAAGAUGUGUCUCCAAAAACUAAGCUAUUUAUGUUAGGUACCGCUUUGUAAACGGGCACCAGGGAAGUCCUUAACGCAUACAUUCCUAGCCACCUGCUGGCCUGGGUCUGCAUCUUGAUUCUUUCUGAUCCAUUCUGGAUCUUUUUCUUUUUUUUUAACAAACAUGAAAAUCACCUUUGUCUCUGUUUGUGUGGGAUGAGGACAUACAAUUUAGAUUCAGGACUGUGACAUGUCAUACUUCCUACAUUUCCCAAGGGAACGAGGAAACACAGGAUUUUCUAACACUGGCUAAAAAUGCAAAUUGCAAGGUUUAGAAGGACUGGUAUAGUCAGGUGUGGUGGCGCACGCCUAUGAUCCCAGCACUCGGGAAGCUGAAGCAGGAGGAUUGCCUUGAGUUUGAGGCCAGUUUGGGCUACAGAGUGAGUUCAAGGCCAGCCUGAGUUACAUAGAGACCCUGUCUCAAAACAAACAAACAAAAUAAUAGAAGGACUGGUAUAAACGUUAUCAUAGGCGAAUCUAAUUACAAUUGUUUUUAGAUUUCUAUUUACCACAUGAAUACCAAGGCUACCAUUUGCAGGUUACUGUCAGCUUUACACACACACACGUGUGGCAAGAACUGGUUUAUAUUAAAGAAAAUUAUAUCUAAUAAUAAGUCUCAAGGUAUGAUUUCAGUAACUCAAAAACUAAAAAGAACCUUGGAGUAUUGGCUUAUCCUAAUGUUUAAAAAAAAUUUUUUUUGGGGGGGUACUGGAGAUCAAACUCAGGACCUUGCAGUUGCAAGGCAGGUUGCGGUGCCACUGAGCUAAAUCCUCAGCCUAAAAAUUUUUAUUAGUACAC